rnacentral:rRNA from 1 species
GGGGUACUCGAGCGGCGAACGGGUGAGUAACACGUGAGCAACCUGCCCCUGACUCUGGGAUAAGCCCGGGAAACUGGGUCUAAUACCGGAUACGACACACUCCGGCAUCGGAUGUGUGUGGAAAGUUUUUCGGUCGGGGAUGGGCUCGCGGCCUAUCAGCUUGUUGGUGGGGUAGUGGCCUACCAAGGCGACGACGGGUAGCCGGCCUGAGAGGGCGACCGGCCACACUGGGACUGAGACACGGCCCAGACUCCUACGGGAGGCAGCAGUGGGGAAUAUUGCGCAAUGGGCGGAAGCCUGACGCAGCGACGCCGCGUGGGGGAUGACGGCCUUCGGGUUGUAAACCUCUUUCAGCAGGGACGAAGUUGACGUGUACCUGCAGAAGAAGCGCCGGCUAACUACGUGCCAGCAGCCGCGGUAAUACGUAGGGCGCAAGCGUUGUCCGGAAUUAUUGGGCGUAAAGAGCUCGUAGGUGGCUGGUCGCGUCUGCCGUGAAAGCCCGCAGCUUAACUGCGGGUCUGCGGUGGAUACGGGCCGGCUAGAGGUAGGCAGGGGCAAGUGGAAUUCCUGGUGUAGCGGUGAAAUGCGCAGAUAUCAGGAGGAACACCGGUGGCGAAGGCGGCUUGCUGGGCCUUACCUGACGCUGAGGAGCGAAAGCGUGGGGAGCGAACAGGAUUAGAUACCCUGGUAGU